GUAUAAUGUUUGAAAUCCACAAUGUCAUUCAUCAAACUAGUAGCGACAUCUCUAUCAUUUUUCAUGCACAAUUUUUCCUCGAUCCUCAUUUUAAUAAUACCGUGAGAAAUUUCAAAAUGCUCAACUUUUAUUGUGAAAGGACUGGGGUCUCUCUUUUUGAAGGAGCAACACUGCAGAGAUUAUUUUCGUAAUAGUACCAUGAUGACUAAAAAUAUCGAUAGUUACAUUUAACUGAUAAUGAUAUGUUCUUGUGUGUGUGUAUACAUAUAUUCUUUAUUUUACAGUAAACAAAAAAGGUGAUCAAAAAAUAAAUUAAAGUAAAACUUAAAUGAAGCUGGUGGAGAACUAUAAGUCAAAAAAACACUAUGGGACCAAGCCUGGGUGCCAAAAAUAUUCGGUGACUCAAGUCAAAAUACCCGAUAAGAUAAUUGAGGCGGCACAAGUUGGUUGGGACAGUAGAAGGAUACACCCAUCGACUGUAAAUUUCACGACACUAGAGGAAGUCUACUCAAUUUAGGGGGAAAAACGAGUGCACAGUUUAAAUAGGAACUGGGGGAAACGCCACCACGCAUUAGCAGCAGCUUAAAGGGCACUGCUUUUUCUGGAAACUCCACAAUUCUCUGCCGGAGUCCAAUCGAUGGAAAUAAUUUGCCCAAUCGAUAAGCAGUUC
rnacentral:lncRNA from 1 species